UAUGAACUUGGGUCAUCCUGACUAUGAGCCUUUUGGCUUAUAGAAUUAUUAUCCAAAUAUUAUUACUUUGACGUUGAACCUGCUAACUCCGUUUGCCCCUUAACCAACUUUUGCACUUUAACCAACUUUUGCACUCUGCAUCAAGAGGAGGUAAUCCCAUACAACAUGAUUUUGCCCUGGAUCCCAUCCAAAACUCCACUAGGGUGCCAAGGGCUGCAAUUGAUCAUCUUAACCUAAAGAUAUAUAGAUAUAAAAAAAGGAAAAAAGGAAAAAAAAAUUCAAAUCCUAAAAAUAGUGCAUGUUAUUAUAACAAAUUAUCUGAACGAUCUAUUUUUAAGAUUUUCAAAUGUUCUUAGAUCUACUCGAUCUACAACAUUUUUUAAAUUUUAAAUUUUAUAACAAGUAAAAAUAGAUUUUCAAGCCAUCAUAAGGUUUCCGAAUCUACAAGGAAAUCUACUGGCAAAAUUUAAAGGUACCUUACUUCUGCAGUACAAGGAGGGCACCUUAUGCAAAUCCCACCCUGAAAAAUAUAGCCCGAAAGCAUAUCACUAAUUCUCCCAGCUCAGCCUGCCUAGGAUUGCCCAAAUCCGGUAACCAUGGACCAGUUAUAAACUUGAACUAAAAACUGAAGACACAACAUAAAAUGAAAUUUUCAUGAAUAGAAACCGAAGGUUAACCUGAAGAGACAAUAUGCAAUGUAAUCUUUUGUGAAGAUUUUCAAUCACAAAAACACCCGUGCACUUCAUUCACACCUGAAAGAAG
rnacentral:lncRNA from 1 species